ACACUGUUAGAGACCAAUAAGAAAUGGUAACUAGAACUACUUUGCAAAUAACUCAGUCAUAACAACUUGCACAGUGCAAAAAGUUUCUUUCUAAUGGACAAGAAUUUUUUUCAAAACAUCACUUAAACGUAAUUCACAUUACAUAAAAAGCAUUUUACUCUUUUUUUUUUUUUCUUUUUAUUUUUAUUUUACUUACUUAGGCAAAAAGAAAUAGUUGCUGCUGAGGGAGAAUGGGAGAUUAAAAGAUUAAAUCAAGAUUAUCACAACAAAAUGAUUUAUGAUAGCCAAAUGGGAAAAUCUUUUUUUUUCUUAAACUUUGAAAUUAUACAUAUAGUGAAGACUGUUAAUAUUUUUUAAAGUCUUUGCUCCUUCAGGCUAAUGACUUAAGAAUCCAAUGCUUGUAACCACAGAUACAGCUAUGAUCAAUUAUUUAAUCCACCUUUCUCUUCUCCCCCACCCUCCCCUUUUUUAGGUAGAAAUCACUGUAGCACUCAAACCCUGCUGAUAUAAGUCAGUUUUCACAUGGAGGAGAUCAUUUGCUACUGGAUGUGUUUGCCCAUCUGUAGUUUUCCAGUCUAAAUAUUUUCUGCCAUUCUCCUUUGGCACUUCUGGAAAAUAUUUUAUUUCCUUCUAUGCUAAAUGCAUUUGUACUGUUGCAAAUUAGCCCAUCAAUUAGUUUUCUACAAACCAUUGUACUGACCUGAUGUCACUACUUCCUUAUGAGGAAAUUUUCCUCUCUAUCUGUUUAAAUGAUGACAUUUGCAGCAGCAGCAAAUUUUCUGGAUUGAAAAGAAGCCUUUGCUGAGUUUUGAGCUCGUAGAGAUAGAAUAAACCCCACAGUUUUAAAUUCCCUAGGGUUGCAAAGAGGAAAAGGGAACUUGCUCUGAGAACCCUCAGUUCCAGGACUGCUGCUGCUAGGAAGGGUUAGCAAGAAGAAUUUCAGGGGAAAUGGAUAUGAGAGAGUGCUUACCCUGCAGGCAGAACCAAAAGAAAGUAGAGAUGAGAAGAUCAUCCAUCAUCCAGAUGAAGCAAUGGUCCUCUGGAAGUGCGGAGGGGUGGCUCAGGACAAAGAUAAUAGUUCUCUCAAUGCUGACAAGAUUGGCAGUGAUUGAGCUUCUCAAGGCACUUCACAAGGCUGGCGUGACUCUUACUUUGGAGAAUGACCGAGCUGCUACAGCUUUCCAUAGGGGAUAUAUAGAAACUAUAGCAGUGUACUAAUGCUGAAGUAUAUUACAGGAUUCUCAUGCAUUCAUAUUCCUGCACAACAGCCCUUCAUGGGGAUUUUUCUGCCUACCCCAAGCUCUAAGAGAUAGUCAUGUAGCAAUUUGGACUCAGCGCAAACAGGAACUAUGCAGGAGAAAAUUACAAGGUUCUUUACAUGGUAAUGACCAGUUUUUCUGUUUUCCAGCAUAUAAUAGCUAAAUACUACUGCUCCUGCUUUGUAAAUAUUUUCUUUCAUAAACUUACAUUGCUCUAUAGGUGUAUUUGUGCAUACAUGGACACACAAAGCCUCCCAUAAAAUCUGCUGAGAUUCUCAACAGCUAAGAAGCAAUAGAGGAACCUCUGCCACAAAGAGAGGAAGAACAGUUUUUAUUUUAAAUGGUCCCAAGCUUCACAUUUUGGUCAGACUCAUGUUCUGAGUGAUGGCACACAAGAAUAUUGCCAGUUUUCGUUCAUUGCUUGUUAUGUUUGGAAACAGGAGCUGACAAUGAAAGUACCUCCUCAACAAAAAUUAUUGCACCACUGCUCUUCACUUGAAGAAGAAAAAGAUGCUGAGAUCAAAAGAAUAAAAUAAAAGGUUAAAAGGAAAUCAAACUUGAAAGAAGGGAAGAGAACAGUUAAUUGGAGGGUCUGAUUCAGAUGUGUUCUUGCAGUGCUCGUUCCUAAUUUACUAUCUGCUCCUCAUCUCUGCACAGCAGUCUAACAAGAAUUCCACUGCCUCCUCAUUUCCCCUCUGGCUGUGCCCCCCAGCUCAG